UGACCUUUGCAACACUCUGGCUCUUACCGUUCUCUCCCGCCUUCGGGCCUGGAUUGAACUCUGCUUCGUGGUAUAGGCUUAUUUUGCGCAAAGAAGAUCAACCGACCCUCUACUCACCGCGGUAUUCUGGGAGAGGCUCUGCCUUAAUCUAUGGAUACAGUGGUCCAUUUAUUUGGUCUACAU
rfam:Aspergillus ustus strain 3.3904 ATSC_24, whole genome shotgun sequence.